rnacentral:rRNA from 1 species
AGUGGUUCCAAGAAAAGCCUCUAAGCUUCAGUCUAACGAGACCGUACCGCAAACCGACACAGGUGGGCGAGAUGAGUAUUCUAAGGCGCUUGAGAGAACUCGGGAGAAGGAACUCGGUAAAUUGGUACCGUAACUUCGGGAUAAGGUACGCCCAAGUAGUUUGACUGGCCUGCGCCAGAAGGAUGAAAGGGUUGCAAUAAAAUGGUGGCUGCGACUGUUUAAUAAAAACACAGCACUCUGCAAACACGAAAGUGGACGUAUAGGGUGUGACGCCUGCCCGGUGCUGGAAGAUUAAAUGAUGGGGUGCAAGCUCUUGAUUGAAGUCCCAGUAAACGGCGGCCGUAACAAUAACGGUCCUAAGGCAGCG